rnacentral:rRNA from 1 species
UACGUAGGGUGCAAGCGUUGUUCGGAAUUACUGGGCGUAAAGCGCACGUAGGCGGAUUUGUAAGUCAGGGGUGAAAUCCCGAGGCUCAACCUCGGAACUGCCUUUGAUACUGCAAAUCUCGAGUCCGGAAGAGGUGAGUGGAAUUCCUAGUGUAGAGGUGAAAUUCGUAGAUAUUAGGAAGAACACCAGUGGCGAAGGCGGCUCACUGGUCCGGUACUGACGCUGAGGUGCGAAAGCGUGGGGAGCAAACAGG